rnacentral:lncRNA from 1 species
AGUCAUUGCAUUCAAAAUAUGGAAGAACAACACGAAAUUUCAUAUUACAAUAUUAACCAAAUUGAACAGCCUUUGAAACAUCAAAGCAAAUGAUUUUAUUGAUUCAGUAAAAAUAACAAACACUUGGAAGAUUGUUCAUAACUAUGCCCGAAUCCAUGACAAAUUAAUACUACAAUAUUAACCAAAUAGAACAACGUUGAUGAUUCAAAGCAAAUAAGUUUAUUCAUUCGGUAAAAAUAACAAACACUUGGAAGACUCUUUACAACUAUGCCUCCAUCCAUAAAUUUUCAGUUUUGUAGACACUACCCCACCCCAUGUUAAAGAAGGUUAUAGAGAGCGCUUAUCAAUAUUGAUAUACCAUAAAUGGCACCCACGAACUGCAGUUGUAAAAAACAAAACCCACGGCCACACUUCCAGUAAAUGCCAUCCCUAGGAGAUCAUAACUAUUGCCCCCACACACGGAUGCAUUGCUUUGUGGAUAGUAAAAUACGAUAAGGAUUAAGUGUUGAGUUAAGUUUUUGUUAAGCAUUGAAUUAAUAGUUGUUAGGUAAGAGAAAUAAAAAAAUAAAAAUUCAAAAUAAAUCUUGAUCAUUAAUUCAAUACUCAGCUAAAAAAAAAAAAAUCAACACUGAAUCCUAAUUCAGUAAAAUAAUAGCUCUGAUAUUGAUUUAAUAUGGAAUUAUCACGUCCGUGGUGAACCAAUUCUUAGUGAAAUUAUAAAUUUUUUUUAUGAUUAUGACAAUGAUGGAUAAAAUUUUUAAAAGAAAGAGAGAGAUUAUUGUUAUUUUUUUCUUUUUAAAAUAUGUUUUAUAAGUUUU